GAUGGACGCUGGCGGCGUGCCUAAUACAUGCAAGUCGAGCGAACAGACGAGGAGCUUGCUCCUCUGACGUUAGCGGCGGACGGGUGAGUAACACGUGGAUAACCUACCUAUAAGACUGGGAUAACUUCGGGAAACCGGAGCUAAUACCGGAUAACAUGUUGAACCGCAUGGUUCAACAGUGAAAGACGGUCUUGCUGUCACUUAUAGAUGGAUCCGCGCCGCAUUAGCUAGUUGGUAAGGUAACGGCUUACCAAGGCAACGAUGCGUAGCCGACCUUAGAGGGUGAUCGGCCACACUGGAACUGAGACACGGUCCAGACUCCUACGGGAGGCAGCAGUAGGGAAUCUUCCGCAAUGGGCGAAAGCCUGACGGAGCAACGCCGCGUGAGUGAAGAAGGUCUUCGGAUCGUAAAACUCUGUUAUUAGGGAAGAACAAAUGUGUAAGUAACUAUGCACGUCUUGACGGUACCUAAUCAGAAAGCCACGGCUAACUACGUG
rnacentral:rRNA from 1 species